UGAGUCUAAAAACAUUCACAAAUGGGGGGACAGGCAUUCAGCGUGGAUGUACUUACAAGAGAUUUACAACAUAAUGCUCGCAGAUAUAUUUAUUUAUUUGCAAUACAAUAUAUUAUUAUUAUAUUGUACUACAUUAUAAUAUUAUCAAUAUUAUAUUUAUAUACAAUACAUUAUAUUAUUAGUAUAGCACAAUAUUAGCAUUAUAUAUUACUACUGUAUAUAUUCGAGUAUAAGCCUAGAAUUUCAGCCCUUUUUUAGGACUGAAAAAACCCUCCUCAGCUUAUACUCAGGUGAGGGUCCUGGUGGGCUUAUAUUCAGAUAGGCUUAUACUCAAGUAUAUAUGGUAUAUUUAUUAUUUUUCUCUAUUGGUAUUGUUACAUUUAUUAUUUUACUCUAUUAUUAUUAUUAUUACAUUCAUUAUUAUACUCUAUUAUUGUUGUUACUUUUACAUUUACUCUAUUAUUAAUAUUAAUACAUUUAUUAUUUUACUCUAUUUAUUAUUACAUUUAUUAUUUCACUAUGAUUAUUAAAAGGAUACAUAAGCACAUUUACAUUGAAGAAGAUGAAAAUAACGAUUUAAUCAGAGUUGAAGUCAUAUCUUAAAUUACAGUUUGAUGUAAAGAUUCAAAAACAUUUUAACUUCUGAUGCCUCAGUUAAUGUAAUUUUAUUGGUAUCUCUUUGCACAUGCUCGGAGGGAGAAAAGCACUUUGUACAUGCUCAGCAGGGAAAGGGUCAAUUGGUAGAUGAUGAUAAUGAUUAUUGUGAGACCUGCACUUUGCACACGAUCAUUAUUAUUAUAAUUAUAAUUAUUAGACUUGAUCCCUGAUCACUACACUUUGCACAUGCUCAGGUGAGAAAGCAUCAAUCGGUAGAUGAUGAUGCCUCAAUUAAUGUAAUUUUAUUGGUAUCUAUUUUUAUUUCUGAAAUUUGCAACUCUCUGCUUAUGCUGGAGUCAAUGUUUUCCCAGUUUUUUUGUGGUAAAAUUAGGUGCCUCGGCUUAUAUUCGGGUCGGCUUAUACUCAAGUAUAUACAGUAUAUUAUAUACAAUACAUUAUAUUAUUAGCAUAGCACAAUAUUAGCAUAAUAUAUUGCUAUAUUGUGCUAUACUACUAUACUGCAAUAUUAUUAAUAAUAUUACAUGUAAUACAUAAUAUACAUUAUUACAUUAUAUUAUUAUUACCAUAUAUACUCCAGUAUAAGCCGACCCAAAUAUAAGCCGAGGCACCUAAUUUUACCACAAAAACUAGGAAAACUUAUUGACUCGAGUAUAAGACAAGAGUGGGAAAUACAGCAGCUACAGGUCAAUUUCAAAAAUAAAAUAGAUAUUAAUAAAAUUGCAUUAUUUGAGGUAUCAGUAGGUUAAAUGUUUUUGAAUAUUUAUAUAAAACUGUAAUUAAAGUUAAUAAUAAAACUUUAAUAAGAUAAGACUGUCCAACUCUGCAUACCUAUAUACUCAAGUAUAAGCUGACCUGAAUAGAAGCCGGCCAGGACCCUCACUUGAGUAUAAGCUGAGGGGAGUUUUUUCAGCCCUAAAAAGGGCUGAAAAACUAGGUGUUAUGGUUGAGCCUCAUGGCUCUACUACUGGGAGACGUGGGCGUAAGACUCCUCGAGAGUCAGAUACUCUCGAGGAGCGAGAAAGGAAGCGGCUGCGAGAUAUCUUUGCAGAACCAUCUGACGAGGAUUCUUUUGAGGGGUUUACUGAGAGAAUGGAGGAAGAGAUGGUUAGCUCGGAAGAGGAUGACAUGGAAUGGACUCGUGUAAGGGAGGAUUUGGGUGCCACUGGCAAUGAUAGUAUGGAAGGCGAUUGGGGACCUUCAGGAUUAGACCCGUGGACAAGCUGGAGGGAUGGGACGGGAUCCACAGCUGGGGAUGCUGCGGGGCGUAGUCAAAGGUGUUCCAGUUCUGAUGAGGAAAGUGAUGAGGAAACGCCCGGGCUAAGGAGAACAGCUGAUAGCGAUGAGGACUUGUAACUGGCAUAAAAUGGGGUUUGGGAGCAAUAGCAAAUUGCGUUGGGCAAGGUAAUCUGGACGAACGCUUGGGAUCUGUGUGGGAAGUUUUCCUGAAGACGGGUGUGAUUCGUUUGCUGACUACCUUUGACCUUCCGUCGUCUUCUUGACGGACGCCAUCUGCUUACUCUGGACUUACGGACUGACUGACUACGGCCUCGGAUUCUCCUACCUGUGUCUAUCGUUGGAACUGGUGAACUACAAACGUCUGCAUCUGCCUUACGACCUUCGGAACGGAUUGGGACUUCGCUGACUGCUUCUGCCCUCGUCUGCUGUGUUUGUAUCGGGAAAUUGCCUGCUGUGUGGAGGAGUAACCUCUAAGUUACUCAAACAUAGCUCUUGGCAGCAGAGAAGCAUCUGCUGCCAAUUAGUUGCAUUCCUUUGAACUUUUUGUUCACCAGCUUCUGUUUGUUUAUUCCCAGGCUGAAGCAAGCUGUUUUGAUUUAACCCGGAUUAAACUCCGGUUUAAUCCGGUUUAUCUUUUGAACGUUUUUCUUGUCUCUUUUUACUUUUAAGGCCAGUGUUUGCCUAGCCCUUGUCUUUUACGGGCAUUUUUGGUUCUGUAACUCCAAUAAACUUUGUUAUCUUUUA